AACAAAUGCAGCGAAUAAAAAAAGGCGCAAGAAGGAGCGUCUUUUAUUCUAUUGAAAUGAGAUAAGUUUGAAAGCUUCUCUCAUUAGAUAUACAAUCUAAAGCCAUUGCUGAUGAGAUCACCUCUAAUCAUUUAUGCGUCUCCUGUUUACAGACGGUGCAGUCAUGGGAGUGAAGAUGCUACAGUGUUUCCCCUUCUACAGACGCUGUAAAGAGCGCUGCAAGAACCGAGAUUGUCAACAAGCUGCAGUUCUCGUGGAGGAAAUGAAGCCUCGUCUGUCCUCUACCACGUCAUCUGGCAGCGACAGCGAGGGAGCUGGAGGCCUGAGUCGAGGCUCACAGCUUUAUUUCUCCACCAAGGCCCGACUUUCCUUCAGGCACGAGUUGGACAGCAACAUCAACGCAGUGGACGCCACCAACUGACGAGUGCGGAUAGUGCAGCACAGGAGAAGGAGCUGAAGCUUACAGAACAUUAAGCCUCCCUAGUUUGGAUUUGAGGCCAACUUUGGAUGCUAAGCUAGUUUGUAAUUUGACCUCUGGCUCCUCCCUGCCGACAGAGAACUGAUGAUGAUUUACAUACAGAGGACAGCAGACUCUGCUCCUCCUCGGGCCAAAUCUUCUCACUGAUAAGACUCAACACGGAGCGUUGUUUACAGCAUUCACCUUAUAGUGCUUUUUUUUAAACUGUAGUACAUUUUUUAUAGAAUCUUCUUUGUAAAAAUUGUUUAUUUUUUAACCUUAGAAUGAAAAUAUUUCCUAAUCCUGAUUAACUCAAUUUUUAUUCUCUAACCUAAAUGUUAAAGCUCAGUAUGUACAUGCUAAUGCUGGGUUAGUCACAGAGAAAGUUACUAAUAUAAACGCAUUAACUGAGCUGCUCGCUGAGCUUCAUUCACAUUUGCAUCUCUUUAUUAAUAUUUUGUAAAUUACCCAAAUUUUUGGCUGGUUUAUGAAAUACUACUUUUCUAUCAACUGCUUUGAAUAUUAAUUCUAUUGUUCUCAUAUUUGAAUCCAUUAAUUUUGUGCUCAAACAUUAAAACUAAGUGUUACAAAUGGCUGUAGUGGUGGUGUUUUU
ensembl:lncRNA